rnacentral:piRNA from 1 species
CAGCAUCUUUACACCAAGAGCCCUGA